UACGUAGGUGGCGAGCGUUGUCCGGAAUUAUUGGGCGUAAAGGAUGCGUAGGUGGAUGUUUAAGUGGGAUGUGAAAUCCCUGGGCUCAGCCCAGGAAUUGCAUUCCAAACUGGAUAUCUUGAGUAUAGUAGAGGAAAGCAGAAUUCCUAGUGUAGAGGUGAAAUUCGUAGAUAUUAGGAGGAAUACCAGUGGCGAAGGCGGCUUUCUGGACUAUAACUGACACUGAGGCAUGAAAGCGUGGGUAGCAAACAGGAUUAGAUA
rnacentral:rRNA from 1 species